rnacentral:rRNA from 1 species
UACGAACCGUCCGAACGUUAUUCGGAAUCACUGGGCUUAAAGGGUGCGUAGGCGGCCCGGAAAGUUGGGUGUGAAAUCCCUCGGCUUAACCGGGGAAUGGCGCUCAAAACUACCGGGCUCGAGGGAGACAGAGGUGAGCGGAACUUAGGGUGGAGCGGUGAAAUGCGUUGAUAUCCUAAGGAACACCGGUGGCGAAAGCGGCUCACUGGGUCUUUUCUGACGCUGAGGCACGAAAGCUAGGGGAGCGAACGGG